rnacentral:lncRNA from 1 species
UGUGCCCGUAGAGCAGCCCGGGGAGCGCGGUGUGCGCUGCGGGGAGCCGGCGGAGUGGCGCCGUGCGUGUUUUAUUGUCCGUGACCGUCCCUGUGCAGGGGACGUUCUGUCACUGCCCCCAGCCCGGCUGCCGCGUGUCGCUGGGGCACCGGCCGCGUCCGUGCGCGCCUCAGCCCUGGCGCUGGGAAUUGCACAGCGGGACGUGGCGUUGUGCUCCCCAGGCAAAGCUCCAUGUCCCGCCCCGUGCCAGCAGCGCGGUGGUGCUCGAAACAGAGCCCAGGGCAGGCACCUGGGCUCCGCUGCCGUGUCUGCCCUGGGGGUGAAAUGCAGCAGCGGGAAGGAAGGUGGUUCUGAUACAUGUAACAGUCACGGACCAGCCUGAGGUGUUUUCAUUUAGGAAUUUCACAAGUCUCUCACCGGUUCUGGAAUUUUGCGUAUUGAUAGAGAGUUUUCUGUGUGUUACUUGAGAGCUCCUUCACACGCUAGGAUACACACCUGUUGUUCUGAUUUCACCUCGGCCCUUAAACAAUGAACGAGCAUGUUUGAAUUUCUUACCGAAAUUACAUUGGUAUUGUGUUUCUACCCCCUUCUAUAACAUGAUGGUGCUGCCUUCUUUUCCACUUUGGUGAUUUGUUCUGUGUGGUGACACUUCAGCUGAAAUUCUAAUAUAUGUAUUUUAUGUAGAGAACGUAAUGCUUUUAAAGCAUAUAAUGCUGUUUGUUAAAAUCUCAUAAACGCCAGAAUGUUGUUGCUAAUUAAGUAUGGAAAGAAACAUAUAACAUUUUAUCUUGUUUCUUGCAGGUUUUCAGGAACCUUAUGCUAAUAAAAUAAGAACAGAAAAAUGACAUUAAGGAAAGUGAACAUUUCCAUCCUUAUAGUGGCUGUUGUCAUAUUUUUGCUAGUUAUUCAUCAUAACUUCCUAAGCCUUAGUGACUUCUUGAGACGGGAAUUGUCAGGUAUGUUGGAUUUUAUUUUAAUUUUAAAAAAAAAUGAUAAAAAGAUUUGGUGUGAAAACACCUGCUCUGGCCAGACAGAACCCACCAUGUGGUUUGGGGUGAGUGUACACUACUGUAGCUCAGCCUUUUAAUACCUUCUCCAGUAUGUGAAUAUGUGUGGUUAAAUGUGUGCAGUUUUCUGUAAAUGUGGUGUUAUUUCAUUCAUUAUCAUCUCAGAUUCUUGAAAGCUGGUGCUUUGAGUGUUUGAUA